rnacentral:rRNA from 1 species
AUUAAUAAGCGGAGGAAAAGAAACUAACAAGGAUUCCCUCAGUAACGGCGAGUGAAGCGGGAAAAGCCCAGCACCGAAUCCGCCGCCGUCUUCGGCGGCCGGAACUGUGGUGUUAAGGACAGCCUAUGGGGAUCGGUCGGGAGUCUGAGUUCUCCUGAUCGGGGCUUCACCCAGAGCGGGUGUCAGGCCUCUACGGCGCCUGGCCGGUUCUCUAAGGUCGUCCUACGAGUCGGGUUGUUUGAGAUUGCAGCCCAAAGCGGGUGGUAAACUCCAUCUAAGGCUAAAUACAGACACGAGUCCGAUAGCGCACAAGUACCGUGAGGGAAAGUU